GGAGACUGGACACUCUCAGUGUGGAGCACGGUGGAGUGUGGAGGCUGAAACCAGCUCUAAAGAAGUAUGCCUGUGACCUCACACUGGACCCAACACGGCCUACAGACUCCUCUCACUGUCUGAGGACAACAGGAAGGUGACGCGGGUUGGACAGGACCAAUCGUAUCCGGAUCACCCAGAGAGAUUUGACUCCUGGUCCCAGGUGUUGGGUAGAGAGGCUCUGACUGGCCGCUGUUACUGGGAGGUAGAGUGGGGAGGAUGGGUC